rnacentral:rRNA from 1 species
AUUGAACGCUGGCGGCAUGCUUUACACAUGCAAGUCGAACGGUAACAGGGAGCUUGCUCCGCUGACGAGUGGCGAACGGGUGAGUAAUGCGUCGGAACGUGCCGAGUAGUGGGGGAUAACGCAGCGAAAGUUGUGCUAUUACCGCAUACGUACUGAGGUAGAAAGUGGGGGACCUUCGGGCCUCACGCUAUACGAGCGGCCGACGUCUGAUUAGAUAGUAGGAGAGGUAAAGGCUCACCUAGGCGACGAUCAGUAGCGGGUCGGAGAGGAUGGACCGCCACACUGACAGUGAGACACGGACCAAACUCCUACGGAAGGCAGCAGUGGGAAUUGUGGACAGUGCACGAAAGGCUGAUCCAGCCAAGCCGCGUGUCGUAAAAAGGUCUUCGGGUUGUAAAGGACUUUUGUCGGGGAGGAAAGCCCCAGCGCUAAGACCGCUGGGGGAUGACAGUACCUGAAGAAUAAGCACCGGCUAACUACGUGCCAGCCGCCGCAGUAACAC